rnacentral:rRNA from 1 species
GACGAACGCUGGCGGCGUGCUUAACACAUGCAAGUCGAGCGGGGCGGCGAACGGGGGAGUAACGCGUAAGUAACUACCCCCCUCUCUGGGAUAACAGAUGGACAGGGAUGCUAAUACAGGAUAGUGGGGUAUGACUCGCGGCCUAUCAGUUUGUUGGUGGGGUAGUGGCCUACCAAGGCGACGACGGGUAGCCGGCCUGAGGGGGGGACCCGCCAAAUUGGGCUGAGAUACGGACCAAACUGCUACGGGAGGCAGCAGUGGGGAAUAUUGCACAAUGGGGUAAACCCUGAUGCAGCAACGCCGCGUGCGGGAUUACGGCCUUCGGGUUGUUAACCUCUCCUUGCAAGGCUCGGGUAGGUGGAGAAGAAGCGCCGGCUAACUACGUGCCAGCAGCCGCGGUAAUAC